GGUCCUACGGGAGGCAGCAGUGGGGGAUAUUGCACAAUGGGGGAAACCCUGAUGCAGCGACGCCGCGUGGGUGAAGAAGCGCCUCGGCGCGUAAAGCCCUGUCAGCAGGGAAGAAAAUGACGGUACCUGAAGAAGAAGCCCCGGCUAACUACGUGCCAGCAGCCGCGGAAAUACGUAGGGGGCAAGCGUUAUCCGGAUUUACUGGGUGUAAAGGGGGCGCAGACGGCGAUGCAAGCCAGGCGUGACAGCCCGGGGCCCAACCCCGGGACUGCCCUUGGAACUGCGUGGCUAGA
rnacentral:rRNA from 1 species